UAGGGACUUGGAAGACACUUCCUUAAGAA
rnacentral:piRNA from 1 species